UAAGUCAAGGGAAAAAGGGCGUAGGGUGGAUGCCUUGGCAUCAGUGGCCGAAGAAGGGCGUGGCAAGACUGCGAAAAGCCUCAGGGAGCUGUCUAGCUAGCUUAGCUGGGGAUUCCCGAAUGGAGCAAUCCGCUUGGGUGAAACCCAAGCACUCGCUUUAAGCGAGGGGGAACCGGGUGAACUGAAACAUCUAAGUAACCCGAGGAAGAGAAAUCAAAAGAGAUUCCCUAAGUAGUGGCGAACGAAAGGGGAAGAGCCCAAACCAAGGUAGCUAAGUGGACUUGGAUCCUAAGCUAUCUUGGGGUUGUAAGGCACGAGGAGCAGAUUCCGAGGUCUGCUACAGAGUUACAAAACUUCAUCUUAGCCAAAUGCUUCUGGAAAGGGCAACUAUAGAAGGUGAGAGUCCGGUAGGCGAAAAGAGUGAAGUCUCUGCUUGUGUUCUUGAGUACCACGGGACACGUGGAAUCCUGUGGGAAGCUGGGGGGACCACCCUCCAAGGCUAAAUACUGCUGAUGACCGAUAGUGAACCAGUACCGUGAGGGAAAGGUGAAAAGCACCCCGGGAGGGGAGUGAAAUAGAAUCUGAAACCCUAUGCCUACAAGCAGUCAGAGGUUCGUUUCGGCGGACUAAUGGCGUGCCUAUUGGAGAAUGAACCGACGAGUUGAUUUAUGUGGCUAGGUUAAGCAACUUAGUUGCGGAGCCGAAGCGAAAGCAAGUCCGAAUAGGGCGCUGCUCAGCUUAGCUGAGCGGGUCGCAUGGAUCAGACCCGAAACCGAGUGAUCUACCCAUGGCCAGAGUGAAGCUCAAGUAAAAUUGAGUGGAGGCUCGAACUUGUGAGUGAAGCAAAACUCUAGGAUGAGCUGUGGGUAGUGCAGGUGAAAUGCCAAUCGAACUCGGAGAUAGCUGGUUCUCCCCGAAAUGCAUUUAGGUGCAGCCUCAGGAAGUAAUUUAUGGAGGUAGAGCUCUGGAUGGGCUUGGGACCGUGAGGUUUCCGUGUUCAACCAAACUGCAAAUGCCAUAAAUGUAAUCCUGGGAGUGAGACUGUGGAGGAUAAGCUCCAUAGUCGAGAGGGAAACAGCCCAGACCAUCAGCUAAGGUCCCUAAAUACAGGCUAAGUGGGAAAGGAAGUGGUGUUGCUAAAACAGCCAGGAGGUUAGCUUAGAAGCAGCCAUCCUUUAAAGAGUGCGUAAUAGCUCACUGGUCGAGUGAUACUGCACCGACAAUUUAACGGGGCUUAAGUCUGUUACCGAAGCUAUGGCAUUGCCUUUAAGGCAAUGGGUAGGGGAGCGUUGUCAAAGCUGAGAAGCCGUGGCGUGAGCCAUAGUGGAGCUAUGACAAGUGAGAAUGUCGGUAUGAGUAGCGUAAAGGCAUGUGAAAACCAUGCCCACCGUAAACCUAAGGUUUCCUAUGCAACGUCAAUCGGCAUAGGGUUAGUCAGGCCUAAGCCAAACCCUAAUGGGGUAGGCGAUGGAUAGUAGGUUAAUAUUCCUACACCGCUUAGCCUUUAUUUUAAGGCAAAGGGGGGACACAGGAAGGUAGGUUGAGCAUGCCUAAUGGACAUGGUGUGUUCCCAACUCAAGGUGCAUCGGGGCAGGCAAAUCCACCCUGAUAUUAAGCUAAGGGGAGGGAGAAUUUGAGGGGCAACCCGAGAUAACUCAACUGAGCCUACACUGUCAAGAAAAGCCUCGUUGCUAAAAUGCUAAGCGCCUGUACCGCAAACCGCCACUGGUAGGUGGGGAUAAGAGUCCCAAGGUGUUCGAGAGAACCCUCGUUAAGGAACUCGGCAAUUUUACCCCGUAACUUUGGGAGAAGGGGGCCCGUCUGAGAAGGCGGGGACACAAAAUUGGCCCAGGCGACUGUUUAACAAAAACAUAGGUCUCUGCUAAAGCGAAAAAGCUGAAAUAUAGGGGCUGAUACCUGCCCGGUGCCAGAAGGUUAAGGGGAGAGGUUAGGAUGGUGACAUUCAAAGCCUUGAACUGAAGCCCUGGUGAACGGCGGCCGUAACUAUAACGGUCCUAAGGUAGCGAAAUCCCUUGUCGGGUAAGUUCCGACCCGCACGAAUGGUGUAACGAUCUGGGCGCUGUCUCAACGAGGGACUCGGUGAAAUUGAAGUGGGGGUGCAGAUGCCCUCUACCCGCGACAGGACAAAAAGACCCUGGCAGCUUUACUAUAGCUUGGCACUGAGCUUAGGCUGAGCAUGUGUAGGAUAGGUGGGAGGCUAAGAAGCUGGGGCGUCAGCCUCGGUGGAGCCAACGGUGAAAUACCACUCUUGUUCAGUUUUGGUUCUAACCCGUUGCAAGACGGGGACAAUGUCUGGUGGGUAGUUUGACUGGGGCGGUUGCCUCCUAAAAGGUAACGGAGGCGUCCAAAGGUUCCCUCAGCACGGAUGGAAAUCGUGUGUUGAGUGCAUUGGCAUAAGGGAGCUUAACUGUGAGACCUACAAGUCGAGCAGAGACGAAAGUCGGGCAAAGUGAUCCCACGGCCCCGUGUGGAAGGGCCGUGGCUUAUCGGAUAAAAGCUACGCCAGGGAUAACAGGCUUAUCUUGCCCAAGAGUUCAUAUCGACGGCAAGGUUUGGCACCUCGAUGUCGGCUCAUCGCAUCCUGGGGCUGGAGAAGGUCCCAAGGGUUGGGCUGUUCGCCCAUUAAAGCGGUACGCGAGCUGGGUUCAAACCGUCGUGAGACAGGUUGGUCUCUAUCCGUCGUGGGCGCUGGAGAUUUGAGGGGAGCUCUCCUCAGUACGAGAGGAUCAGGAGGGACAGACCUCUGGUGUGCCAGUUGUUGCGCCAGCAGCAGUGCUGGGUAGCCAAGUCUGGAGGGGAUAAGCGCUGAAAGCAUCUAAGUGCGAAGCCCACCCCAAGAUAAGAUCUCCCACCGGGUUAACCGGGUAAGGCCGCAAGUAGACUACUUGCUUGAUAGGCGGCGUGUGUAAGCGGAGUAAUCCGUUUAGCUAAGCCGUACUAAUGGCCGAGGCCUUGACCUACA
rnacentral:rRNA from 1 species